rnacentral:tRNA from 1 species
GCCGCCUUAGCUCAGCUGGUAGAGCAACCGCUUCGUAAGCGGUAGGUCCCCGGUUCAAAUCCGGGAGGCGGGG